AUGGCUGAUGAAGAAUCCUAAUGCUUGUGGAUUAUGAGUCCUACAUCUCUGGGACUCUGUGAUCGAGAAUCAAGAUUCUCUGAUCAUGAGUCCCACACAUUUUGGGUACCGGGGUAAAGAGUCCCACUGGUUUGGGACUCUUUGAUCAGGAUUACAUAUCGAUGAAUUCUGAUAUCCGAUUACCCAUCGGAUUUGGACUCAAUAUUUAUAAGAGGUUUAAUUAGUGAUUUGAUCGCUAAUUAACUCAAUUUGAUUGAGUAAUUAUUUUUGGAUCA
rnacentral:lncRNA from 1 species